rnacentral:rRNA from 1 species
CUAAAUACAUCAAUUACGAAUUGUUCGCCAAAUAACUACGAGUAAGAACUUAAAAUUUAAAAGACUUGACGGUACUUCACACCACCCUAGAGGAGCCUGUCCAAUAACCGAUACCCCACGAUUAACCCAACCCGCUCUAGCCCCCCAGUCUAUAUACCGCCAUCGCCAGCUCACCUUAUGAAAGAAACAAAGCGAGCCAAAAAGCACUCUUACCCGCUAACACGAUAGGUCGAGGUGUAACUAAUGAGCGGGGACAAGAUGGGCUACAUUUUCUACGAGCAGAAAACACGAAUAAUAAUACGAAAGUAUAAACCGAAGGUGGAUUUAGCAGUAUGCUAAGGACAAAAUACUUAACCGAAACAAACGCAAUGAAGUGCGUACACACCGCCCGGUCACCCUCCA